CAACUUUCAACAACGGAUCUCUUGGCUCUCGCAUCGAUGAAGAACGCAGCGAAAUGCGAUAAGUAAUGUGAAUUGCAGAAUUCAGUGAAUCAUCGAAUCUUUGAACGCACCUUGCGCUCCUUGGUAUUCCGAGGAGCAUGCCUGUUUGAGUGUCUUG
rnacentral:rRNA from 1 species